rnacentral:rRNA from 1 species
CGCGCAGGCGGCCAGGUCAGUCGAAUGUGAAAGCCCCCGGCUCAACUGGGGAGGGUCAUUCGAUACUGCCUGGCUUGAAGAUAGGAGAGGGAAGUGGAAUUUCAGGUGUAGUGGUGAAAUGCGUAGAUAUCUGAAGGAACACCAGUGGCGAAGGCGACUUUCUGGCCUAUUCUUGACGCUGAGGCGCGAAAGCUAGGGGAGCGGAACG